rnacentral:lncRNA from 1 species
UAUGAUACAGCCCUCUCUCACCACCACAACCUUGCACCUCCGGUUUUAAACUGUGUCCGCCAAAUCAAACCCAAAAAUUUAACCACUUCAAAACCUCGAAUCUCAUCGAUUAAGGCCAUCACCACCACCACACUUGUCGAAGAUUAAAACACACAUAAUAAGAGGCGACCCGGGUUGGAAGCGCAUCUACGUCCCCGGAAAACGGUGUGAUAAUUUGAUCGACAAUGAAACGGCAUGUUUAGGAUGAAACAACGGUUUGAAAAGGAAAAGGAAGACAACGAUGAUGCAAUAUGCAUCUCUAGUAAUCUUCCGCACGUUCUGAUCUUAUUUUGUUGAAUUUAUAAUCUGAUUCUUGAAAAAGUAUGAUGAACGAAAACCAAAAAUCUUUCACUCCAGAUCAAGAAUCGAAGUUCUUGUUUGAUUGAGGUUUCAAAAAAAGAACUUGUAGAAAGCUUUCUUGAUGUUGAUUGAUAGUUAAUUCCUCUAUUCUUUGUUAUUGAUCCGUUGUAGGAUCUAUACCACUUUGAAGCAUAUACAAUAUGAUCAACUAAAUAAAUUUGUAUGUGUGACCUUAUCUUUGUAGUAUGGAUUUGGUAUAACCGCCAAUCAAAAGUUCAUGACGGUUUACAAUAGAGAUAUCUUUUCACAUAUGAUCAAUAUAAAUAAAGACACCGACACAAUGGUUC